rnacentral:rRNA from 1 species
UGCAUGUCGUGCGAAGCACUUGUGCUUAGCGGCGAAUGGGUGAGUAACACGUACUUAACCUACCCUCAAGUUUGGGACAACAGUUGGAAACGACUGCUAAUACCGAAUAUUCUAUUUUAUCGCAUGAUAUUAUAGUGAAAGGUCCGUUUGGACCGCUCGAGGAUGGGAGUGCGUUACAUUAGUUAGUUGGUAGGGUAAUGGCCUACCAAGACGAUGAUGUAUAGCGGGGUUGAGAAGCUGAUCCGCCACACUGGGACUGAGAUACGGCCCAGACUCCUACGGGAGGCAGCAGUAGGGAAUUUUCCACAAUGAGCGAAAGCUUGAUGGAGCGACACAGCGUGCAGGAUGAAGGUCUUCGGAUCGUAAACUGCUGUUAUAAGGGAAGAACAACUAGUAUAGGAAAUGAUAUUAGCCUGACGGUACCUUAUCAGAAAGCACCGGCAAACUAUGUGCCAGCA